UGAGCGUCGGUACGGGCGUGAGCGUCGGUACGGGCGUGAGCGUCGGUACGGGCGUGAGCGUCGGUACGGGCGUGAGCGUCGGUACGGGCGUGAGCGUCGGUAGGGGCUUGCGUGUCUAUUAAUUGUUAUGUCCUUCAAGCAUGAAUUAAGUAACACCUUCUGGUUAUAAUGCCAGCCCGGAAUAUGAAUAUAAGGUUAGCUUCUACAAUUGAUUUGGCAGGAAUCAAAUCCGAGUUCCUCUACUGCGGAUUCGGCAGGGACCAGGCCUUCCGCGAUGGUUCAAUGCAUUAAGGGACCACAUUGAAGAAUUUCACAGAAGGAUCUGGAGGCCAGUUGCCUCUAGGAGUUGAAGGCAGCUUCCAGCUUACAGUCAGCAAAUAACUGGGGACCUUGUUCUUACAACCACAGGAAAUGAAUUAUAUCCACAACCUGAAGGAGCUUGGAAGCAGAAAAUGGAGUAACAGAAGAAAAAACUCACCUUUCUUCAAGAAAUAUUCCAACUGCUCUGCAUCUGUGAACAUUCUCUGCCUUCACUCCUGUCACUGAAGAUCCUUCACUGCACAGCUCUUUACCUCUACUCAACAGUUUCGCUUUGGUUGCCCAGGCUGGAAUGCAAUGGCAUGAACCCAGUAUGUGUGCCAUGAAAUUAAUUGUACAGGUCUUCAAGCCUCAACACAAAGAAAGGAUAAAUGUUGGACGUGAUGGAGAUCCUCAAUACCCUGAUUUGAUCAUUACAUAUUGUCUGCAUGGAUCAAAAUAUCACAGGCACCCCAUAAAUAUGUAUAAUUAUUAUGGAUCAAUAAAAAUAAAUUUAAAAC